UACGAAGGGGGCUAGCGUUGCUCGGAAUCACUGGGCGUAAAGCGCACGUAGGCGGACUCUUAAGUCGGUGGUGAAAUCCUGGAGCUCAACUCCAGAACUGCCUUCGAUACUGGGAGUCUCGAGUCCGGAAGAGGUGAGUGGAACUGCGAGUGUAGAGGUGAAAUUCGUAGAUAUUCGCAAGAACACCAGUGGCGAAGGCGGCUCACUGGCCCGGUACUGACGCUGAGGUGCGAAAGCGUGGGGAGCAAACAGG
rnacentral:rRNA from 1 species